UGCGCAGGCGGCCGUGUAAGUCAGAGGUGAAAUAUGACGGCUCAACCGUCAAACUGCCUCUGAGACUGCUCGGCUUGAGUCCGGGAGAGGAAGGUGGAAUUCCUGGUGUAGCGGUGAAAUGCGUAAAUAUCAGGAGGAACACCGGUGGCGAAGGCGGCCUUCUGGCCCGGUACUGACGCUCAUGCACGAAAGCCAGGGGAGCGAACG
rnacentral:rRNA from 1 species